rnacentral:lncRNA from 1 species
ACAGUCUAUUCCGGUUCAGGAGGCUGCCUGAUUCUUGAACUGUUCUUUGCUCAAUUAAAUUCUGUUAAAUUUAACUAGUCUAAAGUUUUUCUUUUAACAUAAGAAAUGUGCUUUUUAUUGUCUCCAAAGAAAGAACACCAUGUCCAUGAUGGCUUCGUUACUUUCUGUAAGAGCAGGGUAUCUUUCAUACAGUGUAGAGUACUGAGUAAAAGUCAGGGAUUACUGCUAAUUCAUUCCAGGCAUAAGAGACUUGGGGCAUGCACAGGUAGAUGAAGUAACAAGAGUUAGCACCCAUUUCUAGCAUAACACCUGAGAGGUAAAGGCUGUUCUCAGAGAUGCAAUCAUUCUUCACGUUUCAUAAACAGAAACCCAUGAGGCAAGAAGAAUUUGGGUGAUAU